rnacentral:lncRNA from 1 species
UGGGGUUUCUGAGGGUCUAUGGGGCCACCAUAAUCAAGGACCUCUCAAUGGGUCAUGGGACUCCUGAAGGCUGGGGGCAGUGUGCCAGGAUGGUGCCCCCCCGAGCAGGGGGUGUUUGGAGCCGCAGGGUGAGUGUCUGUGGCCGUGGGGUGACGCUGGGGUGGCACCGGGGCAGCGCUGCCCUCCCGUCCUGCUCGUGCCCCCAGGUCGGACGUGGUCGUGCUCUGCUUCUCGCUGGCAAACCCCAACUCGCUGCGGCACGUGAAGACCAUGUGGUACCCCGAGAUCAAGCACUUCUGCCCGCGCACGCCCAUCGUGCUGGUGGGCUGCCAGCUGGACCUGCGCUACGCCGACCUGGACGCCGUCAACCGCGCGCGCCGGCCGCUGGCCAAGCCCAUCAAGCCCUCGGACAUCCUGCCGCCGGAGCGGGGGCACGAGGUGGCGCAGGAGCUGGGGGUGCCGUACUACGAGACCAGCGUGGUGGCGCAGUUCGGGGUGAAGGACGUGUUCGACAACGCCAUCCGCGCCGCGCUCGUGUCCCGCCGCCACCUGCAGUUCUGGAAGUCCCACCUGCGCAAGAUGCAGCGCCCGCUGCUGCAGGCGCCCUUCCUGCCCCCCAAGCCCCCCCCGCCCCUCAUCCAGGUGCCCGACGCGCCCCCCGGGCUGGGGGGGGGCCCGGCCGCGCUGUUCCGGGCCCCGCUCUGCGCCGACGUCGUGUUCCAGCUGCAGGGCGGGCACCGCGUCUUCGCCCACCGCGUGUUCCUGGCCACCGCCUGCUCCCGCUUCUACGACCUGUUCACGCUCGAGGGGCCGCCCGGGACCCCCGGCGAGGGGGACGGGGGCACCCGCGACCUGUCGGGGUGGGGCCGCGGGUUCCUGAGCCUGCGCUGGGAGGAGGUGCCGGAGCCGGCGGCGGGGCGGGAGCGGCGCAUGGCGGUGGUGGCCAUGGACCGGGCCGUGCGGCCGGAGCCGCUGCGCGCCGUGCUGGAGUACCUGUACACCGGGCAGCUGGAGCGGCCCCACGCCGACCUGCGCCAGGUGGGCGCCGUGGCCGAGCUGCUCGAGGUGUUUGACCUGCGCAUGAUGGUGGCCAACGAGCUCAACCAGGAGAGCUUCAUGAACCAGGAGAUCACCAAGGCCUUCCACGUGCGCCGCGCCAACCGCGUCAAGGAGUGCCUGGCCAAGGGCGUCUUCGCGGGUACGGGGGCCCUGGGGGGGCUGUGAGGACGGGGGGGUCACCCAGCUCCGUCCCCUCCGGCCGGUGUCCCCCUCCUGUGAUGUCGGCUUGGACACAGGGCUCCAGUCACCCUGAUCCCCUCCCACCACUGAGGCCAUUGGGUCUGGGGGCCCGGAGCCCUUGUCACAGUCAGUCAUGGUGGGUGGGGCUGUG